AGCCUAAAAGUACAUGCGAGCAUUUCUGUGUUGGCUUAGAUGGGUCAGCAUCAUGCCCUGUAGCAGAAGGUCAUGUUGGGCCGAGUCAUAUUCGAAAUGGCUUAAGACUGGGUGGAAUGAGUCGUGUUCGAAAUAGCGUGAGACUGAUUGGGUCGAGUCAUAAUCGAGAUCCGUGUGCGCUGUAUUUGUAUGAUUUAAGUGAAUUGAUUGCCUAUUUCUACCUGUUCAAACUUUUGGGAUUAAUGGUUAACGUUACCGAUUCGAUAAGUAGUAUCAGCGUCAGAGUCUCCAGGUGCUGGAGGGGAGAUUAUUAGUUUAAAUGGAUCAGCAUUCUGCCUUAUGGCGAGAGGCUAUAUUGGGCUGAGUCAUAUUCGAAGUGGCGUGAGGCUGGGUGGGCUGAGUCAUAUUCGAAAUGGCGUAAGCUUGGUUGGGCCGAGUUACAAUCGAGACCCGUAGACACUGUAUCUGUAUACUUUAAGUGAAUUAGUUGCGUAUUUAUAACAGCUCGAGUUUUUAGGAUUAACGGUUAGCACCAACGAUUCACUUGCGUAUUUAUAACAGCUCGAGUUUUUAGGAUUAACGGUUAGCACCAACGAUCUGACAUUCUUCUCUCAAAGUAGUCUGCUUCUUCAAAAUACACAAAAUUGUCAUAGUUUUACGUGUCAUCUUUUUUCUUUUUUUUUUGUUUCCUCUUUAAUUAAUGUCUACAAAUCAUCCGUUGUUGUUUUCUUUUCUUUUUUUUCUUCUUCUAAAAAUCACCCUAGCUAGUUUUUAAAAUAGUUCAAUUUGUUAUAUAAUCGGUAUAUGCACAAACAAAGAAGUUGUUCCAACAAUUUUAUUAUAUGUAUUCACAACUAGAGAUAAUUGCCUAUAUACUCUUUAAAACUUUGGAAAUAUCUUAUUUAUCCCACUUUUUUUUUCUUUCCAAUAUACUCCUCAUGUGUUCCUUCGUUAUUCCAAAACAUUCUUAUAGUUACCACCCGUUAAAUUAACUUGAGUCAGUUAAAAAAAUUAAAAUAUCACUUUUGCUCUUAACUUAAUGACAAAUAAAAAAUAUUGGUGAUGAUAGAAAGAUAUAUUUGAAAAUACCAAAAAGCAAAAUACUUUUUUUUAUCCCUAACUUAAGGAUAAAUUAAAAAAGUCGGUGAUAGUAGAAGGGUAUGUUUAAAAGGGCAAACUAGUAAUUUCAUAGAAAUAACAGAGUUUAUUAAUAAAUUUUAACUUUAGGGGUAUAUUAGAAAUAGAUUGGAACGUAAAAAAAAUAUUUUCAAUAUUAGCUUUCUAAAAAAGGUAAAUUAGAAAGUUGAAAAUUUUUCAGAAAUAUAUAAGUUAUUGCCCCUAAAUAUAAUAUAAUAAACUAUUU
rnacentral:lncRNA from 1 species